rnacentral:lncRNA from 1 species
GGUUUUGCCAUGAGAUAAGGUUGACAAAUAAAAUAAAAUAGUUGUACAUUUUUUCAAGGGAAUUUAUGCAGAAAAGUGCCCGGAGGCACAGGGCACCCCCCACCGCCCAGGCUGUGCUGUGCUCCCCUCGUAUCCUCGGCCCAUGCUGUGGGGACGCGGGUGGGGGCACGGCACGGGGCUGGCGGCAGUGGGGCGGGAAGGCCCCUCCCGUCACGUCCUGUCCCGUCCCACUGCCCCGGGGCGGGCCGCCCGCGACACAUAUAGGGACGGUUCGGGGCCUGGGCUGCACUCAUUGCGGUGUGAGCGGUCGCGCCCUCGCUUUUACUCCGAGAGAAGCGUCCUCCUCGCUGCCAUGGCCUCGGUACCUUCUGCAGGCUGCCUCCUGGCCAGGAACCAGUACUACCGCACAAGGCAGAACUCGGAAUCCAGCGUUUCUUCCAGCUCCUACUGCUGUUCCGAUCCUGUGAGCGUUGCAGAGCAGGACAAAGCAUUUCAUGGGUUACCUGAAUUACUCGAUAAAUGCUGGUGGAUAAAAAGCUUUUUCCAUUGUGAACCAUCUCCACCAACUGUUGGCAGAAAAGCACUAUCAGCAAGCAGUACCAACAGUUGAAUAUGAAAACAAGCUGGAUUACUGUCUGAGAUACUGCACACGGACUUGUUUUUCCAAGAGGCUUGGGAUCUUCUAAGCAUCUGGGUUCAGCUGCAAGAAGAAAACGAAACGUAUAGGAGGGAGGAAAGGCAUACUUUCAAAAGAUGUCAGUAGCUUAAAAAGUAUAAUGGACAUGUCCUUGGCUUACCUUCUUCAUUAUGGAGUUGCUAUAAUUUUAGAUGACUCUAAUGAAAGUUACCUGAUGACUUAUUUGGAUACUUAAGGAAAAAAAAAAUGACAGUAAGAUAGUGUAGGUUUAAAAGUAUGUGCAUGGAAUGACUUUGCAAUAGGUGAUACUUAUCUGAAGUUUUACCUUUUAAAAUAUCAGCUCUGUAGACAUUCACUGCUGUAAACAUGUCACAAACAGAUCAGUCCUCCUGACUGUAUUGUACAUAUUUUCCGACAGCUGUUCUGGAUCAGUGAUAGACAUCAGAGUUAGCAAGAAUGCUUGCUAAUAGAUUUGCUUUUAGAAAGCCCAACUACACAGAGAAACAACGUUUGCUGUGUUCCACCUGGCUGUGUAGACCCCAACCACAAAUACAUAGAUACACUUUUCAUUCACAACUAUGCACAUUCAUAUUUGAGGACGGAAUAGCAGGAAGAUGGGUAAUCCUAAUGGACACUGACAUCUUCCAAGCAGAAGUGUAAUCUUAAUCAGGGUUGAAACUCAGCUGUGUUUUACUUUCAAAUUACUCUCACCUUCUUUGCUGCAUUUUAAAGACCUACUUGUUCUCAAGUGAGUAAUCCUAUCAGCAUUCACUGCUGUCCAUCAGCUUAGUUUGUAAGGUCUAAGAGCUGGCAAAGUGUUCAACUCAAAGCGAUCACAUUAAUGUUAAUAACAAAGUCUGUCUUUGUCAGAAUACAUGCUAUUGAAAGAUACUGUAGUAUGUUUUCAUUUGCAACUCAGCAUUGCAAAGCAGUAGAUGAUUGUUUGUACUACUGGCCAAGAUGCAUCAAAGGUCAUAGAAAAUAACAUAUUUGGCAGGAUGACAUCACUUCUGUGUAUUUAUCUGUGCAGUUUUUUUGAUGUGACAUCACUACAUCUAGCUGGCCUUAAUCCAUCACUGGAUGAAGCAACAAUAGCAAACAUUAUCAGUGUGAAUGUAAAUUUUUUAAAUUACAGAUUAGUGGUUGUCAGGGUAAUGCUUAGAACUCUAAAGUAUAUCAAAUGACUGCUUCAGUUUUGGUGUAGGUAACAAAUGUUUGCCGCAUAACAACAGAGAAGAACACGAUGAAAACAUGGUUUCAGAAAUCCUCAAAUUGCCUUGUUUUACCUUUUUCCUGUAUCACCAUUGUACAGUUUCAUCACUGUCCUUUCUCUAAGUGUACAGAAUGAACUAUUUUUGUAUGUGAUUUUUUUUUUGUAUUAAUAAAGAUUUAACUGGUAUUUAAUUUAGCUUGUUU